CCUACGGGGGGCAGCAGUGGGGGAUAUUGCACAAUGGGGGGAACCCUGAUGCAGCGACGCCGCGUGGGUGAAGGAGUGCUUCGGCAUGUAAAGCCCUAUCGGCAGGGAAGAAGCAAGACGGUACCUGACUAAGAAGCCCCGGCUAACUACGUGCCAGCAGCCGCGGUAAUACGUAGGGAGCAAGCGUUAUCCGGAUUUAUUGGGUGUAAAGGGUGCGUAGACGGGAAAUUAAGUUAGUUGUGAAAUCCCUCGGCUCAACUGAGGAACUGCAACUAAAACUGGUUUUCUUGAGUGUUGGAGAGGAA
rnacentral:rRNA from 1 species